UUUUCACUCUUUUAUUGUUCUCUCUUUUUUGUGCUUCAUAUCAUUCUCAAGCUUCUUGUUUAUAUGUAUUUUGGUGGUGGUAGUAAUGGAAUUCAUAACAGAGAUAGGGCUAGGACUUCAACUCCCUUCCACUUUUUAUCUAAUGCAUUUGUAUUUAAACAGGAAAUGCUAACACCAGUUACGGUCAUCUAAUGAAGCUUUAUGUUGUGUUGUGGUACAAAGACAAUGGACGAUUUGCAAGUGAUUAUGGGGUUUCUACGAGCUCAAAGAAGCUGAAGAUGGUAUGUAAAUGAUCGCUCGAUCAAUUGAUCAAAGGUUGAGAGAACAUCAUAGGUUGAGAAAAGUGUUCAACGAGAAUUUUUAUAUGUUUGGAAAAAUAUCAAAAUUUUGAGAAAACA